UUGGAGGGCAAGCUGGUGCCAGCAGCCGCGGUAAUUCCAGCUCCAAUAGCGUAUAUUAAAGUUGUUGCAGUUAAAAAGCUCGUAGUUGAAUUUCGGGGUUAGUAGGUUGGUCAUGCCUCUGGUAUGUACUGGUCUCACUGAUUCCUCCUUCCUUAUGAACCGUAAUGCCAUUAAUUUGGUGUUGCGGGAAUUUGGACUGUUACUUUGAAAAAAUUAGAGUGUUUAAAGCAAGCUAACGCUUGAUACAUUAGCAUGGAAUAAUAGAAAUAGGUACG
rnacentral:rRNA from 1 species